rnacentral:rRNA from 1 species
UGCCUUACACAUGCAAGUCGAACGGUAACAGCACUUCGGUGGCUGACGAGUGGCGAACGGGUGAGUAAUACAUCGGAACGUGCCCGAGAGUGGGGGAUAACGCAGCGAAAGCUGUGCUAAUACCGCAUACGAUCUACGGAUGAAAGCAGGGGACCGCAAGGCCUUGCGCUCAUGGAGCGGCCGAUGGCAGAUUAGGUAGUUGGUGGGAUAAAAGCUUACCAAGCCGACGAUCUGUAGCUGGUCUGAGAGGAUGAUCAGCCACACUGGGACUGAGACACGGCCCAGACUCCUACGGGAGGCAGCAGUGGGGAAUCUUAGACAAUGGGGGAAACCCUGAUCUAGCCAUGCCGCGUGAUCGAUGAAGGCCUUAGGGUUGUAAAGAUC